GAUCAUGGCUCAGGAUGUACGCUAGCGGCAGGCUUAACACAUGCAAGUCGAGGGGCAGCGCGGGAUAGCAAUAUCCUGGCGGCGACCGGCGGAAGGGUGCGUAACGCGUGAGCGACAUGCCCGUUGCCCGGGGACAACCGGUGGAAACGCCGACUAAUCCCCGAUGGGAUAUUGUGCCGCAUGGCACGAUAUUGAAAGUUACGGCGGCGACGGAUUGGCUCGCGUCCGAUUAGCUUGUUGGG
rnacentral:rRNA from 1 species